rnacentral:lncRNA from 1 species
ACAAGUAUGAAGAGAAUGUCGGGAGAGGAAGUGGUGGCUAUGAGUCAGCAUGAGUCAUCUCGUUCCAAUGAGAAUGAAGGCUGAGGUGUGCGCCUUUUUUUUUUUUCCUUCUUAGUCGUGUGUACAUCAUUGGGAAUGGAGGGAAAUAAAUGACUGGAUGGUCGCUGCUUUUUAAGUUUCAAAUUGACAUUCCAGACAAGCGGUGCCUGAGCCCGUGCCUGUCUUCAGAUCUUCACAGCACAGUUCCUGGGAAGGUGGAGCCACCAGCCUCUCCCUGACAAGCAAAGUGGAUCAGCAAAGGCUGCAGUCACCAGCAUCUUUUCCAACCUUAAUGAACUGUAUCCUCAAAAGAACACUAUCAGACUGGCUCUGCCGACUUCCAGUUCUGGAACAAGAUGGUUAAACUCAUUUUUCCCUGCUCUGCUCCUCUAAAUACAACUAAGUACCUUGGAAACUAUUCAGCAGACAAUGAUAAAGGGCUCUGAAAGCUAGAAGAAAAGGUGUACUUGCAAGAAACCUCAGGACUUGAGUAACAGCAACAUGGAAAGGAGAAAGAGACUACCUACUGCAUUUCUGUCACUCGCUGAAAAGGACACUCUGUCAGAAAAUCUUCUAGCAAACUUCAAAGGGCAAAAUCACCCCUUGUUACUGAUAAAGCCCAGAGAGCUUCAGCAGCUAACAUUCCCUGGACAGGGCACAGCAAGGAUUUGAACCUAGCUCACCAAGCUCCUGUAUCUACUGGAAAAUGGAAGUCCAGCCUUACCAACUUGUGAACCUUGUCUGAAGGGAGCCAGGGCCUGCCAAUGGAACCACCUCCAGGAGCUGCAACUGCUGUUGUCAUUAAUACCAUUGUGUCUAUUUUUUGAGAGAGAUAAACUUUUCAUGGUGUUACAUUUUGGAAAAAAAAAAAAAAGACUAGGUGAACAGUCAGGUAGGAAAGCAGCAUAACAGUCCCUUAAAUUCUGAUCAUGUAGGACAUUCUUCUUUGCCCUGGGCCUGGGAAAAUGCAGCAUGUUCCAGAGCAAAAGUCCUAAUGAGGGGAACUAAACCAGUGGGACCCAAACCAAUGUCCUGGCUCACUGAGGACCCGUUAGAACCAAAUCUCUGGGUGUGGACAGGCUCCCAUACUUUUCAAAAAUUCCCCUGAUGACUAAUGAACAACCAGAGGUAAGAACCAGUGGCCCAGAGGAAUAACCAGCCCAGCUGUUGUACGAGCUCGCUAAGCUGGCUCAGGUCAAUGUUGAAUUCUCUGCUAGGCAGCUCCUCAUAAGAACUGGCAGAGAUGGUUCUUACACAACAACAGGUGACAACUCCAGACUCUGCCGGAAGUUCCAGGAUCUGGGUUCCCGGACAAUGCAUGACACUCAGUCCAGCAUUGCAGGUGGAAGAGCGACGGUGAAAAGACCAAAGUCAAUUAAAAUGUGUUAACCAAAACAGGAAACAUGAGUGAGGUGAUUGAGAGUGUGUUUAACUUAGAUGUGUGAUUUUAUCAAUACUUUCAUUGUUCAAAAACUCUUAUUUUUUAAAGAUAUUUUCAAAACAAAUCCAAACUUUACUUUUCAUUCCAAAUUCGUGUUCCGUCUAUACUUGCAUUUGGGGAAAGAUUGAAACAAAACACAAAUACUUUGUAGCAAUGUUGGAGUGUCAUGUUCUUUGCAGAGGGACAGGAAAAAAAAAGGAUUUUUUUUUCUUAUCAAGAGAUACUGUUUCCUCAAGGAGAAAGGGCAUCAGUCCAAGGCACUGGUUUGCUCAAAAAGAUUAGUAAAGAACAAGCAUAUUUUGUCUGUGGUGACAACAUGAUCUCCCCCCCCCCACUAGUAAACUCACAGCAUCAGUACGCAGGCAGUGUGAUGCAUUUUCAAAGUUCCUCACUUUUCCAGAUCCAACAGGACUCUUGUGCACAUACUCGGUGUUUCCAUGGCAAAUCCACUGUGUAUGAAAAUUAGACCCUUCCAAAAAACAAAUUUACUAGUCAGUAACCAUCAUCAGCACUUUUUUUCUGUACCAUGAAAUUUGGGAACAAAAUUAAAGGGCUCUUGAUUGAAA